rnacentral:rRNA from 2 species
AACACGUGGGCAACCUGCCUGUAAGACUGGGAUAACUUCGGGAAACCGGAGCUAAUACCGGAUAAUCCUUUUCCUCUCAUGAGGAAAAGCUGAAAGACGGCAUCUCGCUGUCACUUACAGAUGGGCCCGCGGCGCAUUAGCUAGUUGGUGAGGUAACGGCUCACCAAGGCAACGAUGCGUAGCCAACCUGAGAGGGUGAUCGGCCACACUGGGACUGAGACACGGCCCAAACUCCUACGGGAGGCAGCAGUAGGGAAUCUUCCGCAAUGGACGAAAGUCUGACGGAGCAACGCCGCGUGAGUGAUGAAGGUUUUCGGAUCGUAAAGCUCUGUUGUUAGGGAAGAACAAGUACAAGAGUAACUGCUUGUACCUUGACGGUACCUAACCAGAAAGCCACGGCUAACUACGUGCCAGCAGCCGCGGUAAUACGUAGGUGGCAAGCGUUGUCCGGAAUUAUUGGGCGUAAAGCGCGCGCAGGCGGUCCUUUAAGUCUGAUGUGAAAGCCCACGGCUCAACCGUGGAGGGUCAUUGGAAACUGGGGGACUUGAGUGCAGAAAAGAAAAGUGGAAUUCCACGUGUAGCGGUGAAAUGCGUAAAGAUGUGGAGGAACACCAGUGGCGAAGGCGACUCUUUGGUCUGUAACUGACGCUGAGGCGCGAAAGCGUGGGGAGCAAACAGGAUUAGAUACCCUGGUAGUCCACGCCGUAAACGAUGAGUGCUAAGUGUUAGAGGGUUUCCGCCCUUUAGUGCUGCAGCAAACGCAUUAAGCACUCCGCCUGGGGAGUACGGCCGCAAGGCUGAAACUCAAAGGAAUUGACGGGGGCCCGCACAAGCGGUGGAGCAUGUGGUUUAAUUCGAAGCAACGCGAAGAACCUUACCAGGUCUUGACAUCCUCUGACACUCCUAGAGAUAGGACGUUCCCCUUCGGGGGACAAAAUGACAGGUGGUGCAUGGUUGUCCUCAGCUCGUGUCCUGAAAUGUUGGGUUAAGUCCCGCAACGAGCGCAACCCUUGAUCUUAGUUGCCAGCAUUAAGUUGGGCACUCUAAGGUGACUGCCGGUGACAAACCGGAGGAAGGGGGGGAUGACGUCAAAUCAUCAUGCCCCUU